ACGUAGGGGGCGAGCGUUGUCCGGAUUCAUUGGGCGUAAAGCGCGGGCAGGCGGCCCGCCCAGUCGGCCGUGAAAGCGCCGGGCUCAACUCGGCGAGGACGGGCGAUACUGGCGGGCUGGAGGCUGGCAGAGGGCGGUGGAAUUCCGGGUGUAGUGGUGGAAUGCGUAGAGCUCCGGAGGAACACCAGUGGCGAAGGCGGCCGCCUGGGCCAGACCUGACGCUGAGCCGCGAAAGCGUGGGGAGCGAUCCGGA
rnacentral:rRNA from 1 species